AUAAUUUGGCGAGGAAGAUCAACAUGUAGGCCUAGACCAAGACGAAGUUUACAACCUCCUGAGCUGAUUGGGAGUAUGCAGGAGCCCAGUGAUGAGGAGCCUCGAGAGGAACCACCAACUGAAAGUCGGGAUCCUACACCUGGUCAGAAGAGGGAAGAUCAGGGUGCAGCUGAUAUUCAAGGUACUUCAGUAUUGGCUCAGGACGAAACACAGUUCAGUGAAGCAGAAUAG
rnacentral:lncRNA from 1 species